AAAGACUUAGUCCUAACCUUACCG
rnacentral:rRNA from 5 species